ACACGUAACGUCGUAUGACAAAUACGGCGAGAUAUGCCUCGCCUCCUAGGGCGCGAGUUGUGCGCCCUCACUCACUUCUGCAUAGUCUCUAUUCUGCACCUGGUAUAUCGGCCUGUAUCGGUUUACAUAUACGUAAAGGGUUAAUCAACUGGGAAAAAAACCAUGGACAUAGUUAAACGUCCACAGUCGUUUAGCCUAUCACACGACAAACACUCUUCACGAUGGUCCGCGGUAUUCGCACACCAAAAAUCAAAAUGGCUACCCAUUUUCACUGACGUUGUUCCUGAUAAUACCGUGGCUUUUUGGUUAAUGUUAUCGUGACCAUUUUCUACAAUAUACAUUCCUUACAAUUGAAACAUCAGUGAACGGAUGUAACAAUUAUUCUUUUCCGAAAUUCCAAUUGUUUCAUUAUACUUGUACCGUUAAUUCCAACUCUCUUAUUUACACUUUUGCUCAACGUAGUGAAUAAAAAUGAUGUUCAUUUCUAAAGCGCGAAA